rnacentral:lncRNA from 1 species
GGGUAGUUAUCAUCUUCUUUUAUAUUCUGUUUUAUGUACAAACGUCCGUUUUUUAUUAUUAUUAUUUAUCGUUACACUCACCAGAGGGCGGAAUUGAGACAUGCAUGACCUUUUCAUGUUUUCUCCAAGCAGCACCUCACUUUUGUUAAACUGAUGACACUUUCUGUUUGUAGGUGAAGAGCAAUAAGAAACAGCCGUAAGGCCACUCGUAAUCACUGAUGGCUUGGUUUUACCCUCUGUAAAGAACUCAGAAUGAGAAAUAUGAAGAUUCCAGAACUGCUGUUGUUUGCAAUGGCAGCAUUGCACUGUGGGAUAACAGAAGAAAUAGACUUUAUUAUGGGUAACUGUAAUGAUGUCAUCAGACUUCCUUGUACAGCUACUGACCAAACAAAAACCUACCGUUACGUCAUGUGGUAUAAAAAUGAUAAUGUUCCUAUCAUCAAGAGGAAAAAAGAUGAAUAUGCAUACUAUAACUUGACCAACAUUUCUCUGGAAGAUAAAGAGACCCUGGUGUUAAAAAAUACGCAACCUUCAGACUCUGGAGAAUAUAAAUGCUUCCUGGCUGCAGAGGUUGGAGGUCAAAAUGAUGAGUCUAUAGUUGGAUUGAAUAUCUCAGAAUGUUUGGAUGUGAGCACAGUUUAUCCCAUCACCACCAUGAUCCCUGCUGAAUCCUGUCCUGCUGUAGAAGAAUUAACUGUUCCCUGGGCUGUGAUUGGCUUUUCUCUUAUUAGCAUCACCAAAAUUAUUCUUUGCAUUGUAACCGUGGGGGUGUGUGAUCGAGUCAUAUUUAGAACAGUAAGAAGAAAACAGGAAGGAAGGGGAAGCAAGACUGGAAGGUCAAGCUGGAAAGACUGA